ACUCAAAUGAAUUGACGGGGACCCGCACAACCAGUGGAGCGUGUGGUUCAAUUUGAGACGAAGCAAAAAACCUCACCAGGGUUUGACAUGUAUUCGUUUAUUCUCUUGGAAACUUGAGAAGAUCUCUAGAAAUAGAGAUGAAUACACAGGUGCUGCAUGGCUGUCGUCAGCUCGUGCCGUGAGGUGUUCCCUUAAGUGGGGAAACGAGUGCAACCCCCAUCCUGUGUUACAUAUUCACAGGAGACUGCCCUGCUUUGCAGGGAGGAAGGAGGGGCGGACGUCAAGUCAGCAUGGCCCUUAUACCCUGGGCUACACACACCCUACAAUGGCGAAUAACAACGAGUCGCAAGCCGGUAACGGCAAGCAAAUCUCUGAAAUUUCGCCUCAGUUCAGAUUGGGGUCUGAAACCCGACCCCAUGAAGUUGGAAUUGGUAGUAAUCGUGGAUCAGCGUGCCGCGGUGAAUACGUUCUCGGGUCUUGCACACACCGCCCGU
rnacentral:rRNA from 1 species